rnacentral:hammerhead_ribozyme from 1 species
AUUCGGUUGAUGAGUCUCAAAUAGGACGAAACACGUGUCCUGGAU